UUAACCCAUGUUCAUGUGACAAUUAUUCCCAGUUCGUACUUCUCAUAUACGCAAGUAUGUACCGCAAGAUAAUAUUGAUUGUCGUUAUUACUCUUCUGGUGUCGGACACCAACGGUCAAUGGUUUUGGAGGCGACGAAGAAACGAAGUAAUUCAAAACCUUCGACGCAGGAUCAACGGGAGCCCAGAUUACAAGCACGGCGACCAACAGCAGCGAGCGGAGAAUUUUAUCGACAUGCUGCAAGACACAGAACAGCAGGAGCAAACAUAAGUAUCAGCUGAUUUUUCGCUGACAAAUAAAAUCAAUUAAAGCAAUA